GAAUAAAGAAAAGUAAAAUACAUCAGAAAACUAAACAGUCCCAGCCAAGGAGAGCCUGACUCAGAAUUCUAUCUGAAGCAUGAAGUAAACCAACUCCCAAGAUAAGAUUUCCAAAACCUUUCUCUUAUUUGGGAUGUGUCAGAGUUCCCUAAGAAUCUCAAACGGAUUCCGGGCAUUACUUACACCCAAAUAUAUUGUAGAAUUGGAUGAUGGUGCAGUGUGGAAGGGCCAACCCUCAAAUGUCCAAGUUCAAAGGGAAACUCAAGGUUCCCAAGGCAGGGCUGAUAGGAGGGUGGCAGAACUUAGGGUCUAAGAAUAAGUGCAGUAAAAGGGGAAGAAGCAAGCUGGUGGCCAUGCCUAGCAAUUUGGGGUGCUGGCACACCCUUGACCAGCUUGUCAGUUUAAAUUGAAGAGCUAAGACCUGUUGAAGGUCAGGUUCAGCCAUAGACAACAAUUUGUGUGCUACUAGGCUAUACCUUAACUCAACACACAUAGGGGAAUUUGGGUAUGGGAAGCUGAAAGAGACAAGAGCAGGCUGUGGACAUGUCCAGCAAUAGGGAAUGCUAACAUGCCCACAAUCUUGUUACAUUAUUUAGAGGCUAAGAUCGAGAAGAUCUGGUUUUAAUCCAUGGACAAUAACUUGUAUAUUGCCAUGUUUUAAACUAUAGCUCGAACACAUAAAAGGGGUAAGGAGUAGGGAUUCAUUGCAGAAACAGAUAGUAAUACAUAAGCAUACGACUUUAAAUGUUGAACUCUACAAAACAGUAAAGUAGGCAUGGAUGUAAAAGCUUGUAAACAAACACAUUGGUAAUGUUGGAAUCAGAAUUAGGACAUACCAGUUUCAUGGAAAUAAAUAAAUGAAACCAGGAGUCUUGUAAGCCAAGAAUGCGAGCAAGUAAUAUAAAAGAAUUCAGAGAAGAGUAGAGAAGACUAUUGUGUAAGAAUAUAUAAUUCGCAGUGUGUGUCUUCUGAAAAAAAGUUGUAUAUUUAUAAUGUGAAAGCUAUGAGAAAAUAAGGUAAGGAAAUAAUAGAAGCCUGCUUGUCAUAAGACUACCUUUAAUUAAGGGAUUCAAAUUCAAAUGGGCAACACAAUUAAGGGAAGGAUUUUUAAAGAAUAUUUCCCAGCAGUAUGAUAAAGGGUAAGUGCAUAAAAGCCAUUUAAGGAGGCAAACCAAUUGUACACGGUUUUUGUAAAAAAAAAGGAAAGGGAAUCAAAUUGUAAAGCUAAAAUUACAUGCUUAUUCGAAUGAAUCAGGUCGAUAAAUAGGGUAAAGAAAUUUUCACCGUAGGGAAAAUCAGGAGCAAUAAAAUAAACACAAUCAAAGGGAUUCAGAAUCAAUUAGUAGUUGGCAAAACCUUUUGAAAGAAGAAUUCUCAUAUAUAAGGUACACAAACAUGUGUGUCAAGAAGAGACUGUCGAUUUAUGUAAGAGAGAGGAGUUCAGAAUCAUAAAGACUCAAAAGUCAUGAGCAAAGAGAUACAAUUUCAAUUUACAGACUCACAGUGAGUCUGAGAGUCUAGGGUCCCAAAGUGGAGCCUUAACUCGAAAGAAUCAUAAUCAUUUGAGGAAACCUCCAAAUCUUAGGGUCUCAAAAUUGAAUCAAACAUGGAAGCAAGCCAUUUGCUUCAAAGUCUCAACAAACAGAUAUGAUAGCAUGUUGAAUGACAAAGGAAGAAGAAUCAUGAGAACAUAUUCUGAGAGAACUUGGACCCUAAACAAGUUCAAAAGAAUGAGAUAAUACAAUGUGAACACAAAUAGAUGAAGCAUGUAAGAACAUGAACAGAGUCCAGUAAACAAGAAUCAAAUAACUUAACGGUAAAUACACAUAAUAAAAGAGUAGAUAGAACAUAGCAAAGAUUAACAAGAGUAACAUGCAAUCACAGUAGAAAGAUUCAAAGUACACAUUGGCGAAUACUGAUAAGAACAAUAGGAAAGACAUGCUUAGCAGAACCUUAAACAAGGCUCAAUGGAAGGCAUAAAAAGAACCAUAUGGACUUAGCAAGAAAAGUAUAGUAAAAAAAAAAAAGAAUCACCGGGAAAGGUAUAUCAGGAAAGCAAAUAGGAAAAUACAGUACGAUAAACAUACAAGCACAUCAUAAGAUACAGCAGAAAAGUCAAGAACAUAUUAUAGAAAAACACAGUACGUCAGAGGACAACACAAAGAAGCAAAAAUUCAUAAAACUCCUGAUCAUUUUCCAGAAAACCCUAAAUCGGCAAAGAAGGGUUUUUAAAAGUAAUUUUCAAAGAAAGAUUUAGGGAAAUUGUUUGAAAACUCGCGCAUAGCAUAGAUACACAACGGAUCUAAAAAGAAUCGAAGAAAAACCUCGAAUAGCUAGGGUUUCAGAGGAACCCUAGGGUGAGAAAGGCUUUGGAAAAAGGUCCGAUCUAAGUCGGAUAAGAUUGGAAUCAGGCUCAGGAGGCUAGGAUAUGCCGGAGCAAAGCCUGGAGAUGACCGGAAACCUUGAGUCAGUAAAGGUCUGGUCUCAAACCUUUAGGCAUCAUGCACACAGGAGUAAUAGGAGGUGAGUGUAUGUCAUCUAUGGCCUGAGAAGCCAUGGAUUUGGGUGGGGUUGUGGUCGGAGAGGCGGUAGAGUUCAUCAGAGAAGAGAGAACCAGAAGGUUCUAGAGAGAAGGGAGAGGGAGAGGCGACAUAGAGAGAGAGAG
rnacentral:lncRNA from 1 species